rnacentral:rRNA from 1 species
GACGAACGCUGGCGGCGUGCUUAACACAUGCAAGUCGAACGAAGAGCGAUGGAAGCUUGCUUCUAUCAAUCUUAGUGGCGAACGGGUGAGUAACGCGUAAUCAACCUGCCCUUCAGAGGGGGACAACAGUUGGAAACGACUGCUAAUACCGCAUACGAUCUAACCUCGGCAUCGAGGAAAGAUGAAAGGUGGCCUCUAUGUAUAAGCUAUCACUGAAGGAGGGGAUUGCGGCUGAUUAGCUAGUUGGAGGGGUAACGGCCCACCAAGGCGAUGAUCAGUAGCCGGUCUGAGAGGAUGAACGGCCACAUUGGGACUGAGACACGGCCCAGACUCCUACGGGAGGCAGCAGUGGGGAAUCUUCCGCAAUGGACGAAAGUCUGACGGAGCAACGCCGCGUGAGUGAUGACGGCCUUCGGGUUGUAAAGCUCUGUUAAUCGGGACGAAAGGCCUUCUUGCGAAUAGUGAGAAGGAUUGACGGUACCGGAAUAGAAAGCCACGGCUAACUACGUG